rnacentral:rRNA from 1 species
UGUAAGCGUAUACCAAAGUUGUUGCAGUUAAAACGCUCGUAGUCGGAUUUUGGCGGUUCCGGAAGUGUGCCGCGUCGUGCGGCCGCUUUGCAGGGACUGCUUUUGUGGGUGUGCGUCAGAUGAGGGCUGUUAAUUCGGUAACGUCUGUACGCAACCACUUUUUACUGUGAGAAAAUCAGAGUGCUCAAAGCAGGCAUUUGCCGUGAAUGUAUUAGCAUGGAAUAAUAGAAUAGGACUUAGUCUUAUUUUGUUGGUUUGUUGGGACUGAGUAAUGAUUAAGAGGGACAGUUGGGGGCAUUUGUAUUUCGGUGCUAGAGGUGAAAUUCUUAGAUUACCGAAAGACAAACUGCUGCGAAAGCGUCUGCCAAGGAUGUUUUCAUUGA